AUUGAACGCUGGCGGCAUGCCUUACACAUGCAAGUCGAACGGCAGCACGGGAGCAAUCCUGGUGGCGAGUGGCGAACGGGUGAGUAAUACAUCGGAACGUGCCCAGUAGUGGGGGAUAGCCCGGCGAAAGCCGGAUUAAUACCGCAUACGACCUACGGGUGAAAGCGGGGGAUCGCAAGACCUCGCGCUAUUGGAGCGGCCGAUGUCAGAUUAGCUUGUUGGCGGGGAAAAGCCCACCAAGGCGACGAUCUGUAGCUGGUCUGAGAGGACGACCAGCCACACUGGGACUGAGACACGGCCCAGACUCCUACGGGAGGCAGCAGUGGGGAAUUUUGGACAAUGGGCGCAAGCCUGAUCCAGCCAUGCCGCGUGUGGGAAGAAGGCU
rnacentral:rRNA from 1 species